UACGUAGGGGGCGAGCGUUGUCCGGAAUCAUUGGGCGUAAAGAGCUCGUAGGCGGCUCAGUAAGUCGGGUGUGAAACCCUCAGGCUCAACCUGGGGAUGCCACCCGAUACUGCUGUGGCUAGAGUCCAGUAGGGGAGUGUGGAAUUCCUGGUGUAGCGGUGAAAUGCAUAGAUAUCAGGAGGAACACCAGCGGCGAAGGCGGCACUCUGGGCUGAUACUGACGCUGAGGAGCGAAAGCGUGGGGAGCGAACAGG
rnacentral:rRNA from 1 species